rnacentral:rRNA from 1 species
CUCUUAAGAUUGAGCUGUGAUGGGGAGAGGAACUUGUUCCUCGAGUCGUUGAUUUCACACUGCCGAGAAAAGCCUCUAGCUAGAAUAACGGUGCCCGUACCGCAAACCGACACAGGUAGUCAAGAUGAGAAUUCUAAGGUGAGCGAGCGAACUCUCGUUAAGGAACUCGGCAAAAUGACCCCGUAACUUCGGGAGAAGGGGUGCUCUUUGAGGUUCACGCUUCGAAGAGCCGCAGUGAAUAGGCCCAAGCGACUGUUUAUCAAAAACACAGGUCUCUGCUAAACCGUAAGGUGACGUAUAGGGGCUGACGCCUGCCCGGUGCUGGAAGGUUAAGAGGAGUGGUUAGCGCAAGCGAAGCUACGAAUCGAAGCCCCAGUAAACGGCGGCCGUAACUAUAACGGUCCUAAGGUAGCGAAAUUCCUUGUCGGGUAAGUUCCGACCCGCACGAAAGGCGUAACGAUUUGGGCACUGUCUCAACGAGAGACUCGGUGAAAUCAUAGUACCGGUGAAGAUGCCGGUUACCCGCGACAGGACGGAAAGACCCCGUGGAGCUUUACUGUAGCCUGAUAUUGAAAUUCGGUACAGUUUGUACAGGAUAGGUAGGAGCCUUAGAAGCGUGAGCGCUAGCUUACGUGGAGGCAUUGGUGGGAUACUACCCUAAUUGUAUUGGAUUUCUAACCCGCAGCACUUAUCGUGCUGGGAGACAGUGUCAGGCGGGCAGUUUGACUGGGGCGGUCGCCUCCUAAAGAGUAACGGAGGCGCUCAAAGGUUCCCUCAGAAUGGUUGGAAAUCAUUCAUAGAGUGUAAAGGCAUAAGGGAGCUUGACUGCGAGACCUACAAGUCGAGCAGGGUCGAAAGACGGACUUAGUGAUCCGGUGGUUCCGCAUGGAAGGGCCAUCGCUCAACGGAUAAAAGCUACCCCGGGGAUAACAGGCUUAUCUCCCCCAAGAGUUCACAUCGACGGGGAGGUUUGGCACCUCGAUGUCGGCUCAUCGCAUCCUGGGGCUGUAGUCGGUCCCAAGGGUUGGGCUGUUCGCCCAUUAAAGCGGUACGCGAGCUGGGUUCAGAACGUCGUGAGACAGUUCGGUCCCUAUCCGUCGUGGGCGUAGGAAAUUUGAGAGGAGCUGUCCUUAGUACGAGAGGACCGGGAUGGACAUACCUCUGGUGUACCAGUUGUCGUGCCAACGGCAUAGCUGGGUAGCUAUGUAUGGACGGGAUAAGUGCUGAAAGCAUCUAAGCAUGAAGCCCCCCUCGAGAUGAGAUUUCCCAACUUCGGUUAUAAGAUCCCUCAAAGAUGAUGAGGUGAAUAGGUUCGAGGUGGAAGCGUAGCGAUACGUGGAGCUGACGAAUACUA